UUGAAGUAAACAUGUAUGAAGUC
rnacentral:miRNA from 1 species